rnacentral:rRNA from 1 species
UACGUAGGAGGCGAGCGUUGUCCGGAGUUACUGGGCGUAAAGGGCCUGUAGGCGGUUCGGUAAGUUUGGAGUGACAAUUCCCGGCUCAACUGGGAAAGGGCUUCGAAAACUGCUGAACUUGAGGGCUUGAGAGGGAGGCGGAAUUCCGAGUGGAGCGGUGAAAUGCGUAGAGAUUCGGAGGAACACCAACGGCGAAGGCAGCCUCCUGGGAAGUACCUGACGCUGAGGGGCGAAAGCUAGGGGAG